GCUGGGUGUAGUGGCGCAUGCCUGUAAUACCAGGUACUUGAGAGGCUGAGGCAAGAGGAUCGCUGGAGCUCAGGAGUUCGAGGCUGCAGUAAGCAAUGGGUGUGCCACUGCAGCCUAGCCUGAGCGACAGAGCAAGCCCCUGUCUCAA
rnacentral:SRP_RNA from 1 species